rnacentral:rRNA from 1 species
UACAGAGGGGGCAAGCGUUGUUCGGAAUUACUGGGCGUAAAGGGCGCGUAGGCGGCCAACUAAGUCAGACGUGAAAUCCCUUGGCUCAACCAGGGAACUGCGUCUGAUACUGGAUGGCUUGAGUUCGGGAGAGGGAAGUGGAAUUCCAGGUGUAGCGGUGAAAUGCGUAGAUAUCUGGAGGAACACCCGUGGCGAAAGCGGCUCUCUGGACCAUUACUGACGCUUAAGCGCGAAAGCUAGGGGAGCAAACGGG